UUUUUUUUUUUUUUUUUUUUUUUUUUUUUUUUUUUUUUUUUUUUUUUUUUUUUUUUUUUGAUGGUGGCGGUCUGCGAAGGACGGUCUG
rnacentral:ribozyme from 13 species